GGGACGCAGAGUGGGCGGGGUUUAAUGGGACGGAAAUUGCGUCGCUGGACGGCGCCUGGCGCCGAGUGCAGAUCUCUAUCUUAUGAUCAAAGGAAGACAUGUCAACAUGCUUGACUACCUGUGGAACAGCAUGCUGGACCUGGGAUCCGUAGUUCUAGUGAGGAUUCUGCCUCUUGCUAGCUGUGAGAAUGGCCCAUAUUAGUCCUCUAAUGGUCUUCGUGCCAUGGGAGCCUGUCAGUGUGGCUGAGCUCCGGGGAACCCACCAGUGCUGGCAGUCAGUGGACAGGCCUUCCUGAGGUACGCACCUGCUCAGAGCCCUGUCCCAUCUCACCAUUCAGCCUCCAGAGCUCCACCCAAAUGUCACUUCCUGCAGAAAACCCUUCCUGGCUGCCCAGACCAGGCUGGAUCCAGUCACGUGCUCUGAACACCCUGCACUUCGGCUUCACAGCGACGAUCUGAUUGUCUUGCAAUAGUUACCUAUGGAGUGAACUAGUACUGAUGUCUGCCUUCCUCUCGACCUCCACCUCCUCCCAGACAUGAGCUCAGGGAGGGCAGGAACUCUAUCUUGCUCAUAGUCGGAUCUCCAGCUCCUGGCACAAUCUGAAUGCUCAUUACAUAUUGAUGAGUGAGGAAGUGAAUGAAAGGAUGGUUAGGAUGUCGUCAGACUGAGAUGGCAGGGAGGAGAAAUUUAGGAGGAAGACAGCCCAAAGGGCCCAAAAUAUUAGAGCAUGGAGCUUAUGACAGUACCAGGCGAAGUCGAGUUCAUUCAUAAAUUCCAGCCUUCGUGAAUGAGCUGGACGGCCGUAAGGUGCCUCAUUCUUUCCCUCACCACUGUGUCCCAAGUGCCCACCAUGAAUGAGUAGGCAGAAGAGGUUUCCCAGCUUCUGUGGGUCCUUUUACUUGUCCCCAGAAAGUCCCCUUUGCACUCCCUCCGUAGCUUUUCUCACCUUCCCCAUGCUGUUUAAACUCCUCACUCCACUUCCUCCUGAAAUAAAGGUCAUUCGCUAAGGUC